CUUAAACCGCAGCCCUGCAGCGCAGAGGGCUUUGAUGAUGGUGCCAGCAGCCGGCGAUGGGGGCGGCGCGGGAGAGCGGCCUGGAGGGGCCGGCCUAGCUGGGGUCCGUGGCCGUAUGUCUUCUGGCUGCGACGCCGGUCCUGCGCACGCAGCGGGGCCGCAGUUGCUGGGCGGUGGGUGCCCGAGGGGCCGGGAGGCGAGCUGGGGCCCCCAGGCGAGUGUCAGCAUCGUGUCCGCAGCCAGCGUCCCCGAGGCCGCGCUCGGGCCAUGAUCACUCGGUGAAGCUGCGCCGGGACAGCGCGGCCGACUUCUCGCACUGUGAGGACGUGUUUGCGCUGCAGGACUUGGUGCCUCUGCCCGCUGUGCGCGCUUUCCUGUGGGAGGGCCUGCUGGACUUAACGCCAACCGCCUCUGCCGGGUGGACUGGGCGCCGCUCCUGAGCACCCUCUACCCCUGAUCUGUAUCCAGAGCUUCUUCCAGCCGCAGCUUGGCAAGACAGGUUCUGACAGAAAUAAAGUUUUCAGAAGUCGUGUUCCUGAGAUAAGAAAUAAAGAUGUGACCUUCCACUUGUGUAAAGCUCUUAAUUGCUGUGUAAGUGCGUCGGGUGCGCUAAGGAACCUGGAGCUAAAUGGGCUAGUUCUGAGAGAGAGAGGCUUAACUAUGUUAACAAAGUUAUUUGUCAAGGUAUAAGGAACUCUAUCAAUCUUAAGACAGUAGACUUCAUGGGCUGUAAUUUGAAAUGGCAGGGAGCAGAUCACAUGUUCAAGAUCUUAAAGUAUCAGACUACCAGAAGGCAUGAAGAAACCUGGGCUGAGAGUCUUCAUUCCAGGAGACCUGAUCUUGACUGUAUGGCUGGUUUGAGGCGCAUCACUCUGAAUUGCAGCACGCUCAUUGGUGACCUGGGUGCAAGUGCUUUGGCAGAAUCUCUUAGUGAAGAUUUAUGGCUUACAGCACUUGACCUGCAGCAGUGUGGCCUCAGCAGUGAAGGAGCAAAGGCUUUACUAAAGGCCCUUGAAACCAACAGAACUCUGGUCAUUCUGGAUAUAAGAAAAAAUCCACUUGUUGAGGUGAACCUAGAUACUAAACCUGCUUCCACCAAGAGCAUUAUUUCCUUCUCGUUCAACCUGUGACUUCUUGCAAGGAGUACUUUAUUCAUUUGUCAGUUUCACAGGUAAUUUUUUUAAUACCUUCUGUGUGCCAGAUACCGCUCAGGCAGUAGGGAUAAAGCAGUGAACCAGACAGGCAAAAGUCUUGCCCUCAUGGAGCUUACAUUCUAGUGAAGGAGUUCAGAUAGAAAUGAGUAAACAGAUAAGUAAUAUAAUUUUAGAUAGUAGGAAGUGCAAAGAUAUCUUAAUGUAAGGAGAGUGGUGGGGGAGCAGGUAGGACUCCAUUGGAUAGGUUUGUUAGCGGACAGCUUCACUGGAGAAGUGGCAUUUGAACGGAGACCUGAAUGAAGAGAGGAGCAAGCCAUGGAAGAUCUGGAGUAAGCACAUUCCAGGACAAGGAGGCAAUGCGUAUGCAGGCAUGUAGGUGGGUGGAGUAUUUAAGGAAAAGCAAGGAGGCCAACGUGGCCAGAGUACUGAGUGAAGAAGAGUGUGGUAUGACAUGAGUUCAAGGAGCUAGCCAGGGGUCUGAUCUUUUAAAGUCUUGAAGGCCAGAGUAAAGAUGUGGAUUAUUCUAAAUGAGUAGAGGGUUUUGAACUGGAAAAAGGCAUGAUCCAAAUAGUAUCUGAAUAAGAUGACCUGGUAUAGAGAAUAGACUCGGGGUGGAGGGGGGAUAAAGAAGAGAAACAGGGAGACCAGUUAGGAGACUGUCACAGUGGUCCAAAUAAGAGAUGUUUAUGGCUUAGCUUAGGUUGGAAGUUUGGAGCAAGUGAAAAGUAUUUGAAUUCAGGUUGUGUUUUGAGGGUGUAGCUAACAAGAAUUGUAGAUAGAUUAGAUGUGAGGUAUGAAGGAAAUAGUAACAAGGAGACAAGUUGUUGAUGAUUAUGUGUGCAACUGGGUAGUAUCACUUAGAAGAAGGGGGCUUAUGGGAGGAGCAGCUUUUGAGGGAAUAUCAGGACUUUGGUUUGAUAUCUUAGAUGCCCUUUAGGUAUCUAAGUGUCUGGACAGUGCUCAGACUGUACUUUCUAUCCAGAGGUAUCCAAAGCCACUUUAGAUGCAAAAUGUUUAAAGUUGACCUUUGCUGCUGCCAAAAUAGUAGCCACUGGGGGCAGUCUGCAAGAUGGCAUCAUAGGUUUCUGAGGAAGAAAUUAGAAUACACAAAGGGGGAAAUAAGUGUAUAAUUACAUAAUGAAGAUUUCAUGUUUAAUUUUAUGGGAAAAGCAAUAAUUAGUUGGCUUUUGGUUUUAAAUGGAAAUAGCCACUCAUUGGGAAAUAAUUACUCUAAUUUCAAUUUAUUUUACUUUAGAUCAUUCUGUGAUGAAAGCAGUUAUCAAAAAAGGUCUCCAGAAUGGAAGGAGUGCCAAGUCAGAGGUAUAUAACGUGUUUUUGUUCUCUCAGAAGAAUUUCUCUUCAAUGGCUUGUUUUUCUUUCUUUCUUAAAGAAAAUUAUCAAGGUACUUUCUGCCAUCUUAAA